AUGGGCACACACACACACACACAUUGAAUUAAGGGACUCUGGGGAAUGGCCUUUCACAACUGCAGCUAACCACUGAACCUUCCAGUUCACUUCUUGCCUUCUCUGGCCCCUAAGUCAGCAGUCAGCCUUUGGGAGGCAGGGCCUGUCUUUAGCCUAUAGGGAUGCUUUUCUGGACCAGGGGGUUUUCCAGAUUUCAGAGUGCAUCACAGAAAGGGCUGGAGAGCCCCUUAAAGCAAAGCUUGCUGGCCUCCACCUUUUGAGCAUCUGAUUAAGUAGGUCUGGGACCAUGUGCCUUUCUGACAAGUUUCUAGACAAUGACUUUGAGAACCGCUGCUCUAGGGCCAGGAGCACCCAUCUUCCUUCCAUCUAGAAGGGAAGCUUCUAAGGAGGCCACUGGGCCACUCACAUCGAUUCUUCUGCAGUAAGGGGAACCUGUAUCCUUGUCACUUGCUGUCAGCCCCUCUCCAGGCAGUAGGUACUCCACGGCCUAACUCUCAGAGAAACAGAGGCCAUCGUGUCCGGGAAUGUUAGAGGGUGGAAACCUGGCCCCCUGCCACUGGAGGAAAAGGAGAAGGAACUUGCCUGUUUGUUAGAGUCUAGCUGGGGACAGGGGCCCAGAACCUCAGGCCUUUCCCCGCUGUGUGCUCUCCCGUCUGUGAAAUGGCCUGUCCGGUGGGCUACAUACGGUUGCUGUGAGCAUAAAGAGGAAAGGCGGGUUUGAAACUGCCCAGCCAAAUGCAAAGCUCUUUAUUAUCUGCAGUCUUAUUAAUCACAAAAAGCCUGCUCCGGGAUCCCAGCCGCGCACCAGGGCCGUGGAGCCCCGAGGCGACGAGAGUCCGGGGAGAAAGCCGGCGUUUCCCUCCCGCCCUCCGGGGUCGGAGAGCGGGCUGGGGAUUGGGCCGCCGCCGGAGGACCAGGGGCAGGCCGCUUGGCAGAGCCGCCUAUGGGGAGGGCCCCACCAGCGCCGCUCGGCGGAGCCCUGGGGCCGCGCCGGCUCGUCCCAACAUUGUUCAGCACCCCGCGUCAGCCUUGGCCGCGGCCCCUGGCGCGCGCCGGCCGCUUUUGGCCGCCUUGGCCCCGUCUGAACCCUGCGGGCCGCGGGCCAGGGCGGGCCGAGCGCCGCCGCACCGGGCCCCUCUCCCGACGCCUCCCGGCCGCCCGGGACGCUUCUCCCGGCCUCCCAGGCCCGCCUUGGGCCUCCCCCUACCCCGAUCCUCGCGCCGAUCGUCCACGGGUGCAAAACCCUGGGGCUGGGCUUACGGGUUUGCGGGCGUGUGCGCGCCGGGGGCUCCCUGCGCGCGCCGCCGCUCCCUACAGGGACGCGCGCAGGGGGCUGCCCCACCGAGCCCGUGCCUGGCGCCCAGGGGUCCACCCUGAGCUUGGGCUCAGUGCUCCUGGGCGCGCGGGCGGGAGCCGAAGGGCCGCGGCAGGGCGGAGAGGCCUGUGGCCGCUCUGGUAUCUUCGGGCGCACAGGUUCUGGAGAGCCCUGCGCGCCCCUCGGGGCUCCAGCCGGCGAGGUUCCAGAUGUGUGCAGCUGUGCAGCGUGCGGGCUUCCCCCUCGGUGGGGGCCGAGUCAGAAGCGGCCCCUGCUGCUCUCUGUGUGAACCGGGUGGGGAAGCUUUGCCUGGGAGGGCCGGCGUAUGGCCAUAGAAUGUUCUGGGGGGAGUGAAGGGCCUUUGGUUGAGAAGUUGAAGGCUUGGGUUGAGGACGGGGUCUUGGUGUCACCAUUAUUUACCAGCUGCCCAUGCUUGAGAAAUCCAAUCUCCCCCAUUUUCUUGAUUAUCCGUAAUAUAGCUAUCAUGGGUGUGCUUCUUAUCUUCCGUACAUUAUUUUUUUGUCUUUCCCACAACACACAGGGUCGGUGUUACCCACUUUUUGCAGAUGAAGUGAGAUCCAUCCACGCCUGCCAAGGUUACACCAGGGCUGAGUGGGGACCUGUGACUUGAAAUUAUCUCUAAUUCCAGAGACUGGACUGUGAGAAUUUGAUGGGAAACAGAAUUUUUAAGAUGCAAAAGAGUGGUAGACACUAUUCUCUUCCACCUUCCUCGGUGCCUGGAGUCCCACCCGCAGGCAUGACCCUUCCGCCUCCCGAACUCCACAGCGACCCUUCCUUAGGAUAGCUGGUGAAGAGGCAGGGGUUCAGGGUGGGGACCCCCGACAGUAAGCCUCGCCUGGAGCCAGAACCAGAGGGGGGCCUCGCCCUCUUCCAUCC
ensembl:lncRNA